rnacentral:lncRNA from 1 species
GAAUGGAGUCAUCUGAAGGCUCCACUGGGCUCCAUGUCCAGGACGGCUUUUUCCCUUUCAGGUCUGGUGCCUCAGCUGAGAAGACCAGAAUGCUGCGAAGAGACUGGCAUCUCUGUCUCUUCAGGAGGCCACUCCACUUGUUGGGAUUUAUUAAGAGAAGAUGUAUUUCUUCUGCUGGGUCACGAAGAACAUUUUUUUAUCUGUAUCCUCCAAGGAAGCUCAUGGCGAAAUAGAUAAAAUGUCAGAAAUAAUUAAGAAAAAUGCAGGGGAAUCCAACAACCUAAAAUUACACCUUUUGGUGAUGCCUAGUUUUCAUCUCCUUGGUCCCUUGACAGAUAUAAACUCCAACCUAUCACAUCCUUUAGAUGAUGGUGUGUUAAAUCACUGAGGAUGAACUCACGGUGCUGCAAAUGGGAGGAUGAGAAAGAAAGUCUCUUAGAACGCAGAGGUCAUGGGAUCUAGGAGGUCAAUAUACACUAUGCAAUAAAUAUACGAUCUAGAAUCUUUCAGAAUUGUGUCAAUCUC